AGCAAAUAAGAAAUCAGACAUGCACCAAUACACAUCAUAACAAGGCAUAAAUUAAACUAGAAGUAAACUGGAAAGCUACAACAUGUGACAGAUACAAUGAACUGUACUCUGAAACAGUGCUGAUCAUUCCAAAGUCAAGAGUCAGGAGAUCACUUUUGCAGCACUAACUCAACCAGAGGUUAAAAAACACUGAAACCUAGUGCAUUGUAGACAGAGGCAUCAUUGAGUUUUGCCGAAACAAAUGCUACACAAAAAGAAGGAACAUGCCUUAAUUUACUAAACAUGAGAACGGCAAAUACUGGCUACAUGAGCGUAUGAGCAUUUAUUUAUUCAAGCACAAAGCUGGCUGGACACGACAUAGCACCAUGAAUCCAACGGCUGAACAUAGGGAACAUCACAGCCAUCACAAACUCCUAUGUUGAGAACACGAGCUUCUAAAAUAUCCGCCGCGCCGUGAGUGUGCAGCUGUGUUAAAGGCCAUCAAAACAAUGCAUGUGCAGUAGAUUAAAGAAGUAAGCGGUGGUCUGGUGGAAUAUGCGCAUUUUCUGUUUUGAAAACAAUAUAUCUAUCAGUGAUAGGCUGGUGCGGAUCCACCAACAGAGGAAAGCAAUCAUCAGCUAAUUUUAUUUGUGUAUCAUAUAAAGGAAGGAAACAGCCUGUAAAAUUACUUUUGCGGCAUGAACCCUCACCAUCUACGGCACGGGAACCAAUCGGGGAUUGU
rnacentral:lncRNA from 7 species